UACGUAGGGGGCAAGCGUUGUCCGGAUUCACUGGGCGUAAAGCGCGUGUAGGCGGCCCGUCAAGUCGGGUGUGAAAGCCCGGGGCUCAACCCCGGGAUGCCGCUCGAAACUGGCGGACUUGAGGACGGAAGAGGGGAGUGGAAUUCCUGGUGUAGCGGUGAAAUGCGUAGAGAUCAGGAGGAACACCCGUGGCGAAGGCGGCUCCCUGGUCCGUUUCUGACGCUGAGACGCGAAAGCGCGGGGAGCGAACGGG
rnacentral:rRNA from 1 species